rnacentral:rRNA from 17 species
UUUUGWGUUUUGWWUCCUGGCUCAGGACGAACGCUGGCGGCGUGUUUUAUUCCAUGCCAAGUCGAACGAUGGAACCACUUCGGUGGGGAUUAGGGGCGAACGGGUGAGUAACACGUGGGCAAUCUGCCCUGCACUCUGGGACAAGCCCUGGAAACGGGGUCUAAUACCGGAUAUUGACCUUCACGGGCAUCUGUGAGGUUCGAAAGCUCCGGCGGUGCAGGAUGAGCCCGCGGCCUAUCAGCUUGUUGGUGAGGUAAUGGCUCACCAAGGCGACGACGGGUAGCCGGCCUGAGAGGGCGACCGGCCACACUGGGACUGAGACACGGCCCAGACUCCUACGGGAGGCAGCAGUGGGGAAUAUUGCACAAUGGGCGAAAGCCUGAUGCAGCGACGCCGCGUGAGGGGAUGACGGCCUUCGGGUUGUAAACCUCUUUCAGCAGGGAAGAAGCGAAAGUGACGGUACCUGCAGAAGAAGCGCCCGGC